rnacentral:rRNA from 1 species
AUGCCUUCGUCGACGCUCGGCAUCGCGCCGCUGCUGGACGCCUACUUCCGGCGCCGCUUCGCCGCGGCGGGCCUGGUCCAGGCGUCCGUGCCGCUCGACGGCGGCGCCACCACGAUGCAGUGCUGGCGCUUCCCUCCGGGCGCCAGCGAGGAGCUCCCCGUCCUCGUCCUCCUCCACGGCUUCGGCCCGCCGGCGACGUGGCAGUGGCGGCCCCAGGUGGGCCCGCUGUCGCGCCGGUUCCGCCUCGUCGUGCCGGACCUCCUCUUCUUCGGCGGCUCCCGCACGUCGCCCACGCCGGUCGACAGCGAGUGCUCCGAGGCCCACCAGGCCGAGGCCGUGGCGAAGCUCAUAGGCGCGAUCGUCGCCCCGUCGACCAGGGUGUCGGUGGUCGGGACUAGCUACGGUGGCUUCGUGGCGUACCACGUGGCGAGGCUGCUGGGGGCCGAGGCCGUGGAGCGGGUGGUGAUCGCGAGCUCCGACCUGCUCAAGGGCGACGCGGACGACCGCGCCCUGCUGGCGCGCGGCGGGGCCGAGCGCGUGGAUGACCUGAUGCUGCCGCGCACCCCCGAGAAGAUGCGGCGGCUCAUGGAGCUCGCCUACCACCGCCCCCGCGGGUUCAUCCCGGGCUUCUUACUCCGCGACCUCGUUCAGUAUCUCUACAGCGAGAACAUAGAGGAGAAGGAGGGGCUGAUCAAAGCGAUAUCCCUGGGGAACAAAGACAAGUUCCAGCUCACUCCACUCCCCCAGCAAGUUCUUGUGCUGUGGGGAGAGCAUGACCAGAUCUUCCCCAUAGAGAAGGCAUUCCAGGUGACGAGGCAGCUAGGUGCAAAUGUUAGGCUGGAGAUCCUGAAGAACAGUGGCCAUAUGCCCCAGGAGGAGGACACAAAGAGGUUCAACGAGGCUCUCCUCAACUUCCUGCUGCCCACUCCGAGUUCAUCGCUGUAA